rnacentral:rRNA from 1 species
UACGUAGGGUGCAAGCGUUAAUCGGAAUUACUGGGCGUAAAGCGUGCGCAGGCGGUUGUGCAAGACAGAUGUGAAAUCCCCGGGCUCAACCUGGGAAUUGCAUUUGUGACUGCACGGCUAGAGUGUGUCAGAGGGGGGUAGAAUUCCACGUGUAGCAGUGAAAUGCGUAGAGAUGUGGAGGAAUACCGAUGGCGAAGGCAGCCCCCUGGGAUAACACUGACGCUCAUGCACGAAAGCGUGGGGAGCAAACA